rnacentral:rRNA from 1 species
AUGGCGGCAAAGAAGCAUCUCUUUCUCUUGGGGUCUUUCGCGAUAAAGGAUGGGUCGGAGAUUCGUUUAUGGGAAGACAUCUGGCUAGGCAAUGCCAGUAUCAGAGAACAAUAUCCAGCCUUAUAUAACAUCGCUCGCGAUAAGAAUAAUACUAUUGCGCACGUGCUCGGUUCUUCCCCGCCGAAUAUUUCCUUCAGGCGGGAUUUGAUUGUCCCCCGGCUUAUGUCAUGACAUAAUCUUUUAUCCCGGUUGGAUUCGAUUAACCUGACACAAGGUCGGGAUGUGUUUUGCUGGAACCUUACUGCAUCAGGGUCUUUCACAGUAGACUCUAUGUACCGUGCACUCACGCAUUAUGAGGUACCAACGAAUACUAAUAAGAAAAUUCAAAAGUGUAAAAUUCCACUAAAAGUGAAAAUCUUCAUGUGUUAUCUCCGUAGGGGAGUUUUGUUAACCAAAGACAGUCUCGCAUGGCACAACUGGCAAGGGAGUAAGAAGUGUUCUUUGUGUACUCAUGACGAGACAAUCAAACACCUCUUUUUCCAAUGCAAGUUUGCACAUUCUACGUGGUUAGUCAUCCAAAUAGCGUCAAAUUUGUAUCUGCCCACAAGUGUUGCCAAUAUUUUUGGCCAUUGGUUGGAUGGUAUUACUAAUAGGUUCAAAAUGCUAAUAAGGGUGGGAGCGUAUGCCUUAAUUUGGUCACUUUCGCUGUGUAGAAAUGAUUUGGUUUUUAACGACCAAAAUGCUUCUCCUCUAGAGGUAAUUUUCCGGUGUACGCAGAGAGAGGUACCAAAAGGGCAACCUUGUAAUCGUGAGCACCAGGAUCAAUAUCAAUGA